AUUGAACGCUGGCGGCAGGCCUAACACAUGCAAGUCGAACGAGUGGCGGACGGGUGAGUAAUGUCUGGUAAACUGCCCGAUGGAGGGGGAUGACUACUGGAAACGGUAGCUAAUACCGCAUCCCAUCGGAUGUGCCCAGAUGGGAUUAGCUAGUAGGUGGGGUAACGGCUCACCUAGGCGACGAUGCCUAGCUGGUCGGAGAGGCAGACUGGCCACACUGGACCGGGGACAGGGUCAAUACUCCUACGGGAGGGAGCAGUGGGUAAUCUGACACAAUGGUGGCAAGCCUGAUGCAGCCAUGCCGCGUGUAUGAAGAAGGCCUUCGGGUGGUAAAGUACUUUCAGCGGGGAGGCGUUACUCGCAGAAGAAGCACCGGCUAACUACGUGCCAGCAGCCGCGGUAAUUC
rnacentral:rRNA from 1 species